UACGUAGGGGGCAAGCGUUGUCCGGAAUUAUUGGGCGUAAAGAGCUUGUAGGCGGUUUGUCGCGUCUGCUGUGAAAUUUCGGGGCUCAACCCCGAACUUGCAGUGGGUACGGGCAGACUAGAGUGUGGUAGGGGAGACUGGAAUUCCUGGUGUAGCGGUGAAAUGCGCAGAUAUCAGGAGGAACACCGAUGGCGAAGGCAGGUCUCUGGGCCGAUACUGACGCUGAGGAGCGAAAGCGUGGGGAGCGAACAGG
rnacentral:rRNA from 1 species